rnacentral:misc_RNA from 1 species
GUGAAUCAUCAAAUUUUUGAACGCAAAUUGCACUCUCCGGUUUUCCGGGAGAGUAUGCCUGUUUGAGGGUCAGCCUAAAAAAAAUCGACAUUGUUGCUGUUAUUUAAUGGUGACUUUCGUCGGAGAUUGGGUUAUCUUAAACCUUUUUUUUUUUUUUUGGUUUAACCAACUUAAAUUUUUUAUUCACAUUUCCAUGAACGUUUCUAAGUUUUUUUUUUCUUAUAGGUUUACGGUUUUUUGGUUUUUUUUGAGACGUGU